UACGGAAGGCAGCAGUGGGGAAUAUUGCACAAUGGGCGAAAGCCUGAUGCAGCUAUGCCGCGUGUAUGAAGAAGGCCUUAGGGUUGUAAAGUACUUUCAUCGGGGAGGAAAAACAAAACUAAUAAUUUUAUUUCUUGACGUUACCCGAAAAAGAAGCACCGGCUAACUCCGUGCCAGCAGCCGCGGUAAUACGGAGGGUGCUAGCGUUAAUCAGAAUUACUGGGCGUAAAGAGCACGUAGGUGGUUUUUUUAAAGUCAGAUGUGAAAUCCCUGGGCUUAACCUAGGAACUGCAUUUUGAAACUGAAAUACUAGAGUAUCGUAGAGGGAGGUAGAAUUCUAGGUGUAGCGGUGAAAUGCGUAGAUAUCUGGAGGAUACCUGUGGCGAAAGCGGCCUCCUAAACGAAUACUGACACUGAGGUGCGAAAGCGUGGGGAGCAAACAGGGAUUAGAUACC
rnacentral:rRNA from 1 species